UCUCCGGGAGUCGGAGUGGUUGGGUGAUGCAUUCACCCAGGAAAGUCCCCGGGCCCUCUUCUGCAGAGAUGCAGCCCCGGAAACGGGAGAACCUUGUGGCAUGGAAUCUUACUCACGAUUUGUGAGGGGCUGAGACGCGUGUGGAGCCUUCAGAGUCCAUGCCCAAGAAAAUUGGCCGUUGCUUUCACAGUUAUCCACUCGGUCCACUGUUGUGGGCUAACUGAACGGGGCUUACGACCUCCUGGUG
rnacentral:RNase_MRP_RNA from 1 species